UGGGGAAUUUUGGACAAUGGGGGAAACCCUGAUCCAGCCAUCCCGCGUGUGCGAUGAAGGCCUUCGGGUUGUAAAGCACUUUUGGCAGGAAAGAAACGUCAUGGGUUAAUACCCCGUGAAACUGACGGUACCUGCAGAAUAAGCACCGGCUAACUACGUGCCAGCAUCCGCGGUAAUACGUAGGGUGCAAGCGUUAAUCGGAAUUACUGGGCGUAAAGCGUGCGCAGGCGGUUCGGAAAGAAAGAUGUGAAAUCCCAGAGCUCAACUUUGGAACUGCAUUUUUAACUACCGGGCUAGAGUGUGUCAGAGGGAGGUGGAAUUCCGCGUGUAGCAGUGAAAUGCGUAGAUAUGCGGAGGAACACCGAUGGCGAAGGCAGCCUCCUGGGAUAACACUGACGCUCAUGCACGAAAGCGUGGGGAGCAAACAGG
rnacentral:rRNA from 1 species